UUCACCAUCAGUUGCUCCAUCCAGCCUCAGUACCCAGGAGGCUCCUUCCAGCUCAACUUCACCUCCAUCAACUCAACUCACAACUACUACUCAGAGCCAGCUGUCAAUCACUCUGCCCACUUCCUGUUUCCUUCUGCAGAGCCCGCCCACCAGGGAAACUACAGCUGUGUUUAUCACCUCUUUGUUUUUUCUCAUAACUUCUCCUCUGAGAGCCGUCUGCUCUCCGUCUCCGUCACCGUCACAGAUCCAGGACCUUUUAUCAUCCGAGCCGUCGUCCUGCCGCUGACUCAGCUGCUGGUGGUGACCGUCGGCCUUUACUUCUACUGCAAGGCCACCAGGGGGCGGAGGCCGAGCCGACAGGAGGACAUUGAGCUGGAUUAUGAUGACCUGGGUGUUCCUGCUGAAGAGGAAGGAGCUCAGGGAGCAGAGUAGCAGCUCCAAAGACCUCCACACAC